rnacentral:rRNA from 1 species
CCUANGGGAGGCAGCAGUGGGGAAUAUUGCGCAAUGGGGGAAACCCUGACGCAGCAACGCCGCGUGAAGGAUGAAGGUUUUCGGAUUGUAAACUUCUUUGAUGAGGGACGAAUAAAUGACGGUACCUCAAAAACAAGCCACGGCUAACUACGUGCCAGCAGCCGCGGUAAUACGUAGGUGGCGAGCGUUGUCCGGAAUUACUGGGUGUAAAGGGCGUGUAGGCGGGGAUAUAAGUCAGAUGUGAAAUACCGUAGCUUAACUACGGGGCUGCAUCUGAAACUAUGUUUCUUGAGUGUCGGAGAGGAAAGUGGAAUUCCCAGUGUAGCGGUGAAAUGCGUAGAUAUUGGGAGGAACACCAGUGGCGAAGGCGACUUUCUGGACGAUAACUGACGCUGAGGCGCGAAAGCGUGGGGAGCAAACAGGAUUAGAUACCCUANUANUC